rnacentral:tRNA from 1 species
GGAGGAGCCAUUACAGUGGUUGAGCAUCUGCUUGGCAUGCAGAAGAUCUCAGGUUCAAUCCCUGGCAUCUCCG